rnacentral:rRNA from 1 species
UACGUAGGGUGCAAGCGUUGUCCGGAAUUAUUGGGCGUAAAGAGCUCGUAGGCGGUCUGUCGCGUCUGCUGUGAAAACCUAGGGCUUAACCCUGGGCCUGCAGUGGGUACGGGCAGACUAGAGUGCGGUAGGGGAGACUGGAAUUCCUGGUGUAGCGGUGAAAUGCGCAGAUAUCAGGAGGAACACCGGUGGCGAAGGCGGGUCUCUGGGCCGUAACUGACGCUGAGACGCGAAAGCGUGGGGAGCAAACAGG